rnacentral:rRNA from 1 species
AUUGAACGCUGGCGGCAGGCCUAACACAUGCAAGUCGAGCGGCAGCGGAAAGUAGCUUGCUACUUUGCCGGCGAGCGGCGGACGGGUGAGUAAUGUCUGGGAAACUGCCUGAUGGAGGGGGAUAACUACUGGAAACGGUAGCUAAUACCGCAUAACGUCGCAAGACCAAAGAGGGGGACCUUCGGGCCUCUUGCCAUCAGAUGUGCCCAGAUGGGAUUAGCUAGUAGGUGGGGUAACGGCUCACCUAGGCGACGAUCCCUAGCUGGUCUGAGAGGAUGACCAGCCACACUGGAACUGAGACACGGUCCAGACUCCUACGGGAGGCAGCAGUGGGGAAUAUUGCACAAUGGGCGCAAGCCUGAUGCAGCCAUGCCGCGUGUAUGAAGAAGGCCUUCGGGUUGUAAAGUACUUUCAGCGGGGAGGAAGGUGUUGUGGUUAAUAGCCACAGCAAUUGACGUUACCCGCAGAAGAAGCACCGGCUAACUCCGUGCCAGCAGCCGCGGUAAUACGGAGGGUGCAAGCGUUAAUCGGAAUUACUGGGCGUAAAGCGCACGCAGGCGGUCUGUCAAGUCGGAUGUGAAAUCCCCGGGCUCAACCUGGGAACUGCAUUCGAAACUGGCAGGCUAGAGUCUUGUAGAGGGGGGUAGAAUUCCAGGUGUAGCGGUGAAAUGCGUAGAGAUCUGGAGGAAUACCGGUGGCGAAGGCGGCCCCCUGGACAAAGACUGACGCUCAGGUGCGAAAGCGUGGGGAGCAAACAGG